GCGAACGCUGGCGGCGUGCCUAAUACAUGCAAGUCGCACGCUUCUUUCCUCCCGAGUGCUUGCACUCAAUUGGAAAGAGGAGUGGCGGACGGGUGAGUAACACGUGGGUAACCUACCCAUCAGAGGGGGAUAACACUUGGAAACAGGUGCUAAUACCGCAUAACAGUUUAUGCCGCAUGGCAAAAGAGUGAAAGGCGCUUUCGGGUGUCGCUGAUGGAUGGACCCGCGGUGCAUUAGCUAGUUGGUGAGGUAACGGCUCACCAAGGCCACGAUGCAUAGCCGACCUGAGAGGGUGAUCGGCCACACUGGGACUGAGACACGGCCCAGACUCCUACGGGAGGCAGCAGUAGGGAAUCUUCGGCAAUGGACGAAAGUCUGACCGAGCAACGCCGCGUGAGUGAAGAAGGUUUUCGGAUCGUAAAACUCUGUUGUUAGAGAAGAACAAGGACGUUAGUAACUGAACGUCCCCUGACGGUAUCUAACCAGAAAGCCACGGCUAACUACGUG
rnacentral:rRNA from 1 species